GUGAUUUAAUAUAGGGAAUAAGUUUUGUUGUGUUAAUUUGUGGUUUUAAGGUAAGUGUCCAGAAUUUCUAUCAGAUUUAAUUGCCUUGUGGCAUUUAUUCAUUCAGACCAAAUAUGGACACCUCUGAAAACCAUCUUGGAAUGCAAUUACAUUAAAGGCUAAGCUAUCAAACUCCUUGUAUUCUAAAUUUGUAACCAUGGUAAAGAUAGCACCAUACCUUUGUGUUCUCCCCCAAACACCACCAAUAUCUUAUUUUAACUUCUUUAUGGGGGAGGGAGUGCAAAUUGAUUUUAAGGAAACACAGAAAUGCAUUUUCAGAAUUUUUCUACAUGUGGGCUAAAGGGGGCAGUGCUUCCUCUCAUAAAGAUAAAGAGCUAAAAACAGUACUAUUCAUAUGUGAAAUAGAAGCCUCUGUGGAAGGAAAUGAAAGAAGUGCAGGAAGUUGAAGUCAGAUUUAUGGUUGUUUGGGCAGGAGAGAAGACAACCUGGGUCCACAGGAGAAAUGGGCAAGCUCCUGGGGGUAUCACUGUUGAUUCUGUGGCUUCAGCCAGACUGGGUGAAUAGUCAACAGAAUGCUGACCAGCAGCAAGUUAAGCAAACUCCAUCCCUGAGUGUGCAAGAACGAGAGAUUUCUAUUCUGAACUGUGACUACAAUAAUAAUAUGAUUACUUCAUAUGGUACAAAAAAUACCCUGCCAAAAGUCUUGAGUUUGUGAUAUCAAUACGUUCCAUUGUGGAUAAAAAGGAAGAUGAAAGAUUCACAGUCUACCUCAACGAAAGUGCCAAACACCUGUCUCUGCACAUCGCAGCCUCACAGCUUGGAGAUUCAGCCUUGUACUUCUGCGCAGCGAAUGCACAGUGCUCUCCAGGCACCUGCAACCUAUACACAAAACUGCAGCUGGGUCCAUGCCUCUUUGGGGGCUCAUACUUGGAGGCACGUACUUGCUUCCACUUAAACAGAGCAGUAAGAGAGGGUAUGCUUUAAAGUAGGUGAGUGGGAUGAGCUUUAAGGAAGAUCAGAUACAUAGUAAGUCCCUCAAAUGAGUUAAGGAUGUUCCUUGGGUUUUAGGGUGUCAAAGAGUUUAAUCAUUCUCCUUUUUCACUUUCAGAGAGAGGUUGCUGGUUUAACUAAAGCAUCAAUCUCUGGUGAUGCUUUGAUCCCGCUAGACCUUGGAAUGAGGAUACCAUUUCCCCUGUAGCUUAGGGGAAAAGAUACCCUGGAGAUGGGGAAACCAGGAUUCUACUGCAAGUUCUCCCAGUGAAUGUUUAUGUGCCUAUACGUACCAGCAAUCAUGUGCUUCAUUUUUGUGUUAAAUGAACAAAAUAAUCCCUAGUUAUUUCUUCUGAAUCACUGUGCCUUCACAUUAAAUGCAUUUCAGGAUGUAUAUGUUUUAAGUUACAUGCAUUUAUUUGUUUCAUCGCUCACAAGAUACUUCUAGGCAUUGCUUCAGUGAAUCACUUACUGUGUAUUCUUAUCCCCAGGCA